GUCUCACAGUUUGAUCCUGGCUCAGAACGAACGCUGGCGGCGCGCCUAAUACAUGCAAGUCGAGCGAGAAGGUGUAGCAAUACACUUGUAAAGCGGCGAACGGGUGAGGAAUACAUGGGUAAUCUACCAUCGAGUGGGGAAUAACCAGCCGAAAGGUUGGCUAAUACCGCGUACGCCUCCGGAUCUUCGGGUUCGGAGGGAAAGCCGCGCUGUGAGUGCGGCGCUCUUUGAUGAGCUCAUGUCCUAUCAGCUUGUUGGUAGGGUAACGGCCUACCAAGGCUUUGACGGGUAGCUGGUCUGAGAGGACGAUCAGCCACACUGGCACUGCGACACGGGCCAGACUCC
rnacentral:rRNA from 1 species